AGUGAACGCUGGCGGUAUGCCUAACACAUGCAAGUCGAACGGCAGCACAGUAAGAGCUUGCUCUUACGGGUGUCGAGUGGCGGACGGGUGAGUAAGACAUCGGAAUCUACUUUUUCGUGGGUGAUAACGUAGGGAAACUUACUCUAAUACCGCAUACGACCUACUGGUGAAAGCAGGGGAUCUUCGGACCUUGCGCGAGUGAAUGAGCCGAUGUCGGAUUAGCUAGUUGGCGGGGUAAAGGCCCACCAAGGCGACGAUCCGUAACUGGUCUGAGAGGAUGGUCCGGCACCCUGGCACUGAGGAACGGCACCGACUCCUAGGGGAGGACACGGUGGGGAAUAUUAGAGAAGGGGGCAAAGGCUGAUACAGGACAACCGGCGGGGGGAAGAAGGACCUAGGGUUGGUAAGGCCUUUUGGUGGGAAAGAAAAAAAGCACGUUUACCCCCCGCGAUUAUGACGGUACCCAAAGAAUAAGCACCGGCUAACUUCGUG
rnacentral:rRNA from 1 species